AUGUCCUCACCCGGCGGCAGAUUCAAGAGAUAUUGCACGGCCUCCUCGCGGGUCAGGUUCUGGAAACUGGUGUCGUUCGCCUGCCGUGGAGAAACGCUCAGACACGACCCACCGGUAGGACAGAGGGAUGGGGUUCCAGCAGGGUCUUGGGGACUGCAGUGCCCAGGGCAGGGUGGGAGAGGGUCCCUGCCACCCAAGUGCCUGCCACAAGCCCCGGGUGACCCUGGGGACAGCCCCUCUGGGUGGUGCCUGCACCCUGCGGGGUGCCAGCACAGUGCUGGGGACAGGACUGGGUACCUGCAGGAUCUGGUCCCCUUCCUGGAUGCCCUGGCUGUCGGCCGGGCUCCCCUCCUGUACACCCGACACGAAGAUGUCGGGGCUCUGCCUCCAGUGGCCGCUGUCCUGGCUUCGUCUCCGGCUGCGGGACACCGACUUGUGCUGGCGGCGGUCGUCCCGGUGGUGACCAGAGCUCCUCUCGCUGGACGAGUCCCCAUCAUAGCCCCGGCUGUGGUCCAGGUCAUCGCGGGAGCGGUGCCGCCGGGUGCUGCGCAGGGCCAGAUCCCCACCACGCAACCCGUCGUCCUCAUCCGAGUCGUAGCGCCGCUGCACCGCGGGGGACCCAGGGCCACUCUUGCUCACAGGAAUGUGAAUUUUCUUCUGUCUUUUCAGUGUCUGCAGGCAGAAACAGAGAAGGAAGGGAUGGUGAAUGAGGCUGUCACUGCCUCAUGCUCCUACAGCAAUGUCCCAGCCCAGAACAGGAGCCCUGGGCACGCCGGGGGAGCAGAGCACGGUGCUGCAGCGGCUGCAAGAGGAGCAGGGCUUUGCCCAGCACCCCCAGCACCACCACCCACCCCAGACACAGCCACAGCAAGGUGGGGACAAGCAUGGAGCGGUCCCACCACAGGGCACACUCACAAUGUUGGCGAUCUUGCCGCAGGUCUUAAGCGUCUGGAUGGCGAAGGAGGACGAGGCGUUGUCCAUGGAGAGGCCGUUGACCAUCACAAUCUGAUCCUUCCUCCUGCGAAGGGAACACAGCCACGGCUCUGCCCCAGCUGCAACCCUCAGCCCCGGGGGGGGCGUUGGCAGGGCAGCAAGGGCAGCUUUGCCCCAGGGAGAACCCAUCCUCCAGCCCCCAGUGAGGACGCCCUGUGUCCCCAUGUCCCUGUGAACUCACUGGAGCUGGCCGAACGCUGGUCCCCCAGCCACCACAUCGGACACAAUCACCGCGGUGUCCCCGGUCACCUUGUUGGGACGGUCCCNNNNNNNNNNCACGACCCACCGGUAGGACAGAGGGAUGGGGUUCCAGCAGGGUCUUGGGGACUGCAGUGCCCAGGGCAGGGUGGGAGAGGGUCCCUGCCACCCAAGUGCCUGCCACAAGCCCCGGGUGACCCUGGGGACAGCCCCUCUGGGUGGUGCCUGCACCCUGCGGGGUGCCAGCACAGUGCUGGGGACAGGACUGGGUACCUGCAGGAUCUGGUCCCCUUCCUGGAUGCCCUGGCUGUCGGCCGGGCUCCCCUCCUGUACACCCGACACGAAGAUUCCCACGUCGUUCCCGCCAGCCAGCCGCAGCCCCACGCUCUUGGCCUUCACGAACUGCACGAUCCUGGUGUCGGGGCUGUACCUGCCAUGGGGGAGGCUGCAGUGAGCCCGGCAGUGAGGCAGGGACACGCCGGUGGUCACUGAUUCCGAGACCCUAACCCUGCCCCGGCGCAGCUCCCAUCUGCCCAGCCCUUCCCCACCAGCCCCUGCAGACGCACCCGUUCUUGCAGGAAGCUUGGGCAGCGGGGCUGGUGCGGGGGCUGUGGUGGCCGUCCCCCUCCACAGCUUCCAGCACAUCUGCAGGGAAGGAGGACACAUCCAGGAGGUGGCGGUGGCUGUGCUUGGACAGCCCAGAGCCCGCUCAGUGCCCUCAGCUCCCCCCAGCCUGAUCCGAGCUCACCCACCAUGGCCCAGAGCAUCGUGUGUGUUCGUGUUGGUUGCGGCGUUCUUGCUCGCUCGUCUCCUCUCUCUGGAACAGAGUCAGGCAGGAUUUAGGGUGGCCACGGAGGUGGGUGCUGGAUCAGCACAGGCAGGCAGAGCCUGCAGUGCUGAGCAGGCAGCAGGGACAGCGGGGCAAGCUGGGGACCAAAAUGCAGUGCCACCUUCAUGGUGAGCUGGCUCCAGGACAGAGGAGAAAAAGCCACUCCAGAUGGGCAGAGAGCAUGGGGGGUCUGGUGGUCAGUGGGGGAAAGAGGGGCUGAUGGGGACGCAGGGGCAGGGGCAAGGCAGGGCUUACGGUGGUGAAUUCAUCCUGGCAGCAGCUGGAAGUCGUGGGGAGGUCUGGGGGGAUGGCGGGUGGGACACGUCAGAC
rnacentral:lncRNA from 1 species